rnacentral:rRNA from 1 species
CCUACGGGGUGCAGCAGUGGGGAAUAUUGCACAAUGGGCGAAAGCCUGAUGCAGCAACGCCGCGUGAAGGAAGAAGGGUUUCGGCUCGUAAACUUCUAUCAACAGGGACGAAAGAAAUGACGGUACCUGAAUAAGAAGCCCCGGCUAACUACGUGCCAGCCGCCGCGGUAAUACGUAGGGGGCAAGCGUUAUCCGGAAUUACUGGGUGUAAAGGGUGAGUAGGCGGCAUGGUAAGCCAGAUGUGAAAGCCUUGGGCUUAACCCGAGGAUUGCAUUUGAAACUAUCAAGCUAGAGUACAGGAGAGGAUAGCGGAAUUCCUGGUGUAGCAGUGAAAUGCGUAGAUAUUAGGAAGAACACCAGUGGCGAAGGCGACUUUCUGGAAUGAAACGGACGCUGAGGCGCGAAAGCGUGGGUAGCGAACAGGAUUAGAUACCCGGGUAGUC